GCUAUACAUGCAGUCGAGCGAAUGACGAAGAGCUUGCUUCUUCUGAUUUAGCGGCGGACGGGUGAGUAACACGUGGGCAACCUGCCCUGUAGAUUGGGAUAACUCCGGGAAACCGGGGCUAAUACCGAAUAAUCCAUUUCCUCACAUGGGGAGAUGUUAAAAGACGGCAUCUCGCUGUCACUACAGGAUGGGCCCGCGGCGCAUUAGCUAGUUGGUGAGGUAACGGCUCACCAAGGCGACGAUGCGUAGCCGACCUGAGAGGGUGAUCGGCCACACUGGGACUGAGACACGGCCCAGACUCCUACGGGAGGCAGCAGUAGGGAAUCUUCCACAAUGGACGAAAGUCUGAUGGAGCAAUGCCGCGUGAGUGAAGAAGGUUUUCGGAUCGUAAAACUCUGUUGUGAGGGAAGAACAAGUACGAGAGUAACUGCUCGUACCUUGACGGUACCUCAUUAGAAAGCCACGGCUAACUACGUGCCANCAGCCGCGGUAAUACGUAGGUGGCA
rnacentral:rRNA from 1 species